UACGGAGGGUGCGAGCGUUGUCCGGAAUCAUUGGGCGUAAAGGGCGCGUAGGUGGCCCGGUCAGUCUUUGGUGGAAGCGCGGGGCUCAACCCUGCGUCGGCCAGGGAUACUGCCGCGGCUCGAGCACUGUAGAGGCAGGUGGAAUUCCGGGUGUAGUGGUGAAAUGCGUAGAGAUCCGGAGGAACACCAGAGGCGAAGGCGGCAUUCUGGACGACAUCAGACGCUGAGACGCGACAGCACGGGGAGCGAACGGG
rnacentral:rRNA from 1 species